ensembl:lncRNA
CCGCCUCGGGACUUUGUGUGCGUGGGGUUUAGAAUCCCCCCGCGGACCGCACAGUGAGCCCCCACGGGCGGCAUGCGUCCCGCGGGCCGUAUGAUGUGCAGGCCUGGUCUUGUGGCAUACUCGCGACAUGUCUGAAAAGCAUAAGACGCCAUCUGCGGAUAAUGGCCCCAGUAGUCUGUAGACCGGAGCGACCAUAAACAUCUGCUUUACAAAUGAAGUCAUUACACUCUAUGCCCAAUAUACAACGUUGGCAUUUUAUGUGGAAAACCUCCAGCUUUGCCCACUCUGAGUGGUGCAGUCCCAAUGUUUCGCAACCGUACAGCAGUACAGAGAGGAUAUAGCUCGAUUAGAUCCUGAACUUGGUUGUCGUGCCAAGAUGAUGUUGAUUCCGUAUCAUUGUAAACGACCCAUGGCAGAGGCUGCAAUGCCACACUCAGGCACCUAAAUAAAUGGCCUGACCUUUCUCAAAUGCUGAAUACCAAGAACUUCUCACUUGAAUCUGCCGAAGCCGUGGCUGUUCAGCUCCUCUGAAAAUUAAUCCACUCGUUUAGAUGCCUGAAUAUGAAUGUUAGUGCCAGACUUUGGACAGUGACAUAGGAAGACAUUGGCCUGAGCCUAUGCAUGGACUCUCAUCCUACAAUCCAGCCCCUCAACAGAUACAUCCCAGCUUCUGACUGUGAACCAUUCAGCUACAAUGGGGAGGCCUAGAUGCUGUAAGUGAAUUAACAUGUAAUUAUAGAUAGACAAAUAGAUAGACAGUAUAAGCUAUUCUUUCUACCAUCUGCCGUACGGAUUUGCUCUGUAGAGCUUGCUGUCCCUGUUACUCAUGGGUAUUUAUGUUCCAGAGCCCCACAUGAGAGAGGGAAGGAUUUCAGGCCCAAGGCCCAAGUGGGGCAGGAAGAAGCACACGCUCACCUCAGUUGUCUUCUUUGCUGAGGGCGCACUGUCCAGCACGCCGGCAGACUGACCCAGAUCAGAAGGCCUGGACUUGGUACGUGAACGUAAGUAAUAUCCUUAGGUAAGUGCAGUGAGGAAGCAAAGGUCCCAGGGUGUGGGUCAAGGAGAUGGCAAUGGGGACACAGAGGCCCUGUCAUGGCACCAAUGGGGUCUAAUUUGUACUGUGUG